rnacentral:rRNA from 1 species
CGGGUGAGUAACGCGUGAGGAUCUGCCCUUCAGUGAAGGAUACCCUUGAGAAAUUAAGGUUAAUACUGCAUACGUCCCUUUGAAAUAUAAGGGAGAAAGAUGGCCUCUUGCUGUCGCUGAAAGAUGAACUUGCGUUCUAUUAGCUAGUUGGUGGGGUAAAGGCUCACCAAGGCGAUGAUGGAUAGCCGGCCUGAGAGGGUGAACGGCCACAUUGGAACUGAGAAACGGUCCAGACUCC